UCUUAAUAUUUAUAUAAAGAAAAAAUCAAAUUUGAUUCUGCAUUUUCCAGUACAACAGAAAAUAGUCAUUUGAACAUCAAAUCCGUCAAUCUUUCUGCAAUAUUAUUAUCAUUAUAAUUUCCUAAGAUGACACUUAUGUAGUUAAAUCUAGUUUUGAGCACAAAAGCUGAGGCCAAAGCUUUGCUCUUAAUAUUCCAUGAUGCCUAUACAAAGAAAAGAAACUCAUAUUAAAGCAUAAAUGGCAAAGCUAAAUGAGACAAUAGGGUCAAGAAAUCUUAGGGAAUUUAGCCAUAUUAAAAAAGUUGACAUACUUGACCUUAAUGUGUCUUCUACGAGCCGAAAUUGAUGCCUUGAGCUAGUGGUAAUUCAUUCCCGUAAUUGAUUGUACAAGUGGAUCGUCGCAUGUACUGCUUCCAAGAAUCACUUCCUGCUUCACGGCCACCUCCUGUAGCCUUUUCGCCACCAAAUGCACCACCAAUUUCAGCGCCAUUUGUUGGUAUAUUUACAUUCACAAUGCCACAGUCACUUCCUCGUGGCCUGUAUUAUAUUCAAGUAAGAAAUUUCUGAUGCUAAGCAACCAAAAAGGAAUAUUUUUAUUAUGAAUUAUUUGAACCUUCAAACCUUGAGUAUGAUGAGCUCAUAUCUUGUAAAGAAUUUAUUUAUUUUGGAUUUUGAUGUCAGAAUAAGAAAAAGAUACCCAGUAAAAUUGGAAGUAAGAUGCUCCAAUUAAAGAACUGAAUCAAAACAUUUUGCAAAAAGAUAUCAAAUUCUGAAGAUAAGCAGCAACAAACAUCUCCCUCAUUCAAGGCUUUUGAAGGUAAAAUGAGCAACAAAAAAAUAUAAUUAGUUCCAUAUUCAUGCUGGAAACACUAACCCAAUCCAUCUGAAGAUAACUUCAGGUUUGCGGGUGAAGAUAGAACUGCUUAGUCCUUGAGGCACUGAAUUGUUUAUUUCAAUUGCUUCUUGUAAAGUCUGAAAUUUCAUAACAUAAAGAACAGGAGCAAAUAACUCCUCCUUAACAACAUCUGCUUUUGAAGAAAUCUCAACUAUUGUGGGCUGCACAAAAUUCCCUUCAGAUUCUAUAACUGAACCUCCAGUUAGGAUCUUCCCUCCCUGAGACUUAAUGAUCUCUAUUCCCUUUUCAAAGUUCUUUCUUGAUUCAGAAGUAUGCAAUGGCCCAAGCAAGGUACCAUUUUCCAAUGGAUCCCCAACUUUAACUUGUUGGUAUACAUCGAGCAGUUGAUCUAGUACUUUGUGAUAUAUACUCUCAUGAAGAAGCAGCCUACGACAUGUUGUGCACCGCUGACCAGCUGUCCCAACAGCAGCAAACAAAAUGGAACGAACAGCUAACUGAAUGUCUGCAUCAUCCAUUACUAUUAUAGCAUUGUUUCCACUUAAUUCAAGCAAGCAUUUACCAUAUCUCUGAUUCACUGUUUGUUGCACCAUUAGGCCAACCUUUGAACUCCCAGUAAAUGAAACCAGAGGAAUUCGAGUGUCUUUUGCCAUUGCUUGGCCAAUGUCAGCACCACCACAAAAGGAUGUAAAAAUUGCAGGAGGUAAGUUGUUCUUCUCUAGCACCCCAGCCACCAGCUUAGUCAUUGCUACAGUAAUCAAAGGAGUUGUUGGUGCACCUUUCCAAACAACACAAUUGCCGCAGACUAGUGCAAUGCAUGCAUUCCAUCCAAGAACAGCACAUGGGAAGUUGAAAGCUGUAAUCACACCAACUAUACCUAGAGGAUUCCACAUCUGCAUAGAAAACGUACAUGAAAAAAUGUUUCAAUUGUAAAAAAAAAUUAUAAUAAUCAAGCAGUCCCAACUUAAAAGCACAGGCACCAAGGUACCUCCAACAUUGCAUGAUUUGGACCUGUAAGAGAACAAACAUAAUUAUUCCAGGACUAAUUUUACAAUAUUCAAGGAUAAAGAGGAAGAAAUCUAACAGAGCUUUUGAACCAGAAGGAAAUACCAGCAGCAGAUGAUAAAUAAAUUCCAAUAUUCUCCAUAAAAAUGAGCCCAUUUGAGAUCCACAUGAGGGAGGGAGGGUAUUUUGACAACUCAACCCGAUAAAAAGUAUGGAUGUAUAAAAAAAUAAAUAAACUCAAUAUUUAAACUCACGUUCUGAAGGUAUUAUUGAUCCAUUCAGUUGCCGGCUUAAUCCAACAGCAAAGUCACACAUGUCAAUGAUUUCUUGAACUUCUCCUAUGCCUUCAGGAAGUAUUUUCCCCAUCUCAAGUGAAACAAGGCGACCAAGUUGCUGAAGUUUUGCCCUCAAUGCAUCCCCAAUCUGUCUGACAAUUUCGCCUCUCUUCGGUGCAGGAACCUGCAUCCAUAUCUUAGCUGCUUCACUGCAAGCCUGCAAGCCUUCUUCAUAAUCUUCAAUGGAACCUUCCACAACUUCAGCUAUUGCCUGGUUGUUUGCAGGAUUCAAAGUGGUGAUUACUGGACCACGUGCUUUCCACGUGCCAUUCACAUAACAGCCCAAGUUGAGCUCGCUCAAUCCGAUCUCACUAAAAAAUUCGUAUCCUUUCCUUGCAAAACCCAUUUGUGAUUUAGAUUAGUUUCUGCAAGUGAAGCCUGAAGUGGAAAGGGAGUGUAAAGAUGGAGGAUAAAUAGGCAUGAAUUUGGUGGCUUGAUUGGAAAGAGCUCAAAUACAAGAAGAGUGAGCAAGAGCCGUGAG
rnacentral:misc_RNA from 1 species